rnacentral:rRNA from 1 species
GUGUCUUCCGGGUGCGGCUCGGGGCACCUCCCACCCGUGUUGCCCGAACCUAUGUUGCCUCGGCGGGCCCCGCGCCCGCCGACGGCCCCCCUGAACGCUGUCUGAAGUUGCAGUCUGAGACCUAUAACGAAAUUAGUUAAAACUUUCAACAACGGAUCUCUUGGUUCCGGCAUCGAUGAAGAACGCAGCGAAAUGCGAUAACUAAUGUGAAUUGCAGAAUUCAGUGAAUCAUCGAGUCUUUGAACGCACAUUGCGCCCUCUGGUAUUCCGGAGGGCAUGCCUGUCCGAGCGUCAUUGCUGCCCUCAAGCCCGGCUUGUGUGUUGGGCCCCGUCCCCCCCGCCGGGGGGACGGGCCCGAAAGGCAGCGGCGGCACCGCGUCCGGUCCUCGAGCGUAUGGGGCUUCGUCACCCGCUCUAGUAGGCCCGGCCGGCGCCAGCCGACCCCCAACCUUUAAUUAUCUCAGGUUGACCUCGGAUCAGGUAGGGAUACCCGCUGAACUUAAGCAUAUCAAAA